rnacentral:lncRNA from 1 species
UGGACUCCAAUACACCUUGGCCAUGAAUAAGGGGCUGGAAAGGGGACUCUUUGUGGGGAGGGAGCAGGCCUGGGCUCUAGUCCUAUAUCUUCCAUAUGUGUCCCAGGCAAGUAUACAUCAUCCCUUCUCUCACUUGUUCCGCAGUAAUGUAUUGAAUAUUUUAUGCCAGGCGCUGUUCUAGGAGCUUGGGACACAUGGAUGAAGAAGGCAGACCCGUUUCCCCAUCCGUGUGGAGUUUACGUUCCGGGGCAGGAGACAGGUCAGUACAUUUUAGUUUUGUUAGAGAGUGGUAAGUGCUGUGGAGGAAAGGAAAGUUGUUUCUGGGGACGCAGGGCUGGGGGCAGGUUGUAGUCUUUGAUAGGGCGUUGGGAUGGGCCUCAUUGACAAGGUGAGAUUUGAGCACAGGCCUGAAGGAGGGUAGGAAGUUCACCAAGCCCACGGCCGAGCAGAAAUCACAGCCAGAGCAGAGAUCCCCUGGUGGGAAUGUGCCUGGCCUGGCUGACGAACCGCAAGGAGGCCAGCAUUGCUGGGGUGGAGUGACUGAGACGGAGAGGGAGAGGGAGGGACGGGAGGUCAUGAGUGUGCAGCCAGAUCCUGCAGACACCCACUGAACUUUGGCUUUACACCGAGUGAAGCCGGGAGCCAUGGGAAGGCUCUGAGCAGAGGAGUGUCACCUCCUGACUCGUGCUGUGAAAGGGCGGCUUGGGCUGCUGCUCGGGGGAUCUGUACAGGAUGGGCAGAUCAUCCCCAUGCCUGGUGGGCUGCUGCGAAGGUCGGUGGGGACACUGGGUGAGGAAAUGCUUGGAAACAAAAGGCCCUGAGUGUGGUUACAGGGCUUCCAGGAGAAGGACCUGAGUGACUCUGCUCACACCCAUCUUAUUGAAGGGUCAGUGGAGCUCAGGAGAGGGUUAUGAUUUGCCCAGGGUCGUAUGUUCUACCACCGAUUCAGGAUCGGGGACUUCCCACUCUUCUCCCAGGGCAAAUACCAUCUGGCAGGUGGCUAAGUAGCGCAGCCUUUGGACCUGUGAUGGCUGUAGUGCGGCUGACGGAGACGAGUCCUCCCGUGAAGAUCCAUUCACUGCACAAAUAUUUGUUAAGUGCCAGUUAUGGGCCAGGCACUGAUCUGGACAAGGAGCUGGGACCUAGAGGCAUUGGGAGACACCUGGCAAGGGCUAAGUCCUGGUCUCUGGUGGUAAAGAAGAUGAUGUCAUUCAUACAAGCAGGAAGGCAUUCGCUCGUUUGAGGAACAGAAAGAGCACAGUGCGUCUGAUGAGCGGGGAGAGGCGUUUCAGCUGAAGAGCCGGGCUGGGACCAGGUCGUGUACUCUGGUAGUAGUCUCUGGGGAAUAUUCCGAGAACAAUGGGAAGCCCUCAGAGGGCCAGGCGGGAGGUGCUGGGUCUGGUUUAUAUUUGAAAAUUAUGCAUAGCACACAGAUUUAAGGAGGCAAGAGGCCAGGCACGGUGGCUCACAUCUGUAAUCCCAGCACUUUGGGAGGCGGAGGAGGGCAGAUCAUGAAGUUGGGAGUUCGAGACCAGCCUGGCCAACAUGGUGAAACCCCAU